rnacentral:rRNA from 1 species
GACGAACGCUGGCGGCGUGCCUAAUACAUGCAAGUCGAACGCUUCUUUCCUCCCGAGUGCUUGCACUCAAUUGGAAAGAGGAGUGGCGGACGGGUGAGUAACACGUGGGUAACCUACCCAUCAGAGGGGGAUAACACUUGGAAACAGGUGCUAAUACCGCAUAACAGUUUAUGCCGCAUGGCAUAAGAGUGAAAGGCGCUUUCGGGCGUCGCUGAUGGAUGGACCCGCGGUGCAUUAGCUAGUUGGUGAGGUAACGGCUCACCAAGGCCACGAUGCAUAGCCGACCUGAGGGGGUGAUCGGCCACACUGGGACUGAGACACGGCCCAGACUCCUAGGGGAGGCAGCAGUAGGGAAUCUUCGGCAAUGGACGAAAGUCUGACCGAGCAACGCCGCGUGAGUGAAGAAGGUUUUCGGAUCGUAAAACUCUGUUGUUAGAGAAGAACAAGGACGUUAGUAACUGAACGUCCCCUGACGGUAUCUAACCAGAAAGCCACGGCUAACUACGUG